rnacentral:rRNA from 1 species
AUUGAACGCUGGCGGCAGGCCUAACACAUGCAAGUCGAGCGGAUGAAGGGAGCUUGCUCCUGGAUUCAGCGGCGGACGGGUGAGUAAUGCCUAGGAAUCUGCCUGGUAGUGGGGGAUAACGUCCGGAAACGGGCGCUAAUACCGCAUACGUCCUGAGGGAGAAAGUGGGGGAUCUUCGGACCUCACGCUAUCAGAUGAGCCUAGGUCGGAUUAGCUAGUUGGUGGGGUAAAGGCCUACCAAGGCGACGAUCCGUAACUGGUCUGAGAGGAAGAUCAGUCACACUGGAACUGAGACACGGUCCAGACUCCUACGGGAGGCAGCAGUUGGGAAUAUUGGACAAUGGGCGAAAGCCUGAUCCAGCCAUGCCGCGUGUGUGAAGAAGGUCUUCGGAUUGUAAAGCACUUUAAGUUGGGAGGAAGGGCAGUAAGUUAAUACCUUGCUGUUUUGACGUUACCAACAGAAUAAGCACCGGCUAACUUCGUG